UCCAUGUGUUGGGAUUGUCUGGUCUUGUUU
rnacentral:piRNA from 1 species